CCAUAUCUUUUUUUGGAGUACGUAAAAAGGGAUGUGACAAAUAUACAUACAAGUAUAAAAAAGUAGGCAAACAAGUAGCAAAACAAAUUCUUUCAAACACUCCAAACUAACAGAAUCCAAAACUAAAAUAACAAUACCACCUAAUACUCCAUUUCAUCCUCUCUAUCAUCCUCGUCCUCUUCACCAUCAUCAUCAGAGCUAGGGGAUAGAGAACGAGGAAACUUGAUUAACGUAUUUACUUGAGCCUUGAGUUCUUGGAUGUCUGACUCAAGUGUUGUCCUAUGUCGCUGCUCUCCAUCCUUCUUUUUCGUUUCUCCUCGUACUUUCUGUCGUAUCUCCUCAAUGUGAUCAUUUGGCAUGGUUGCGGACCCCCUAUACCUUGCAAUCCACACUGGAGGCCUCCGCUACUUCGAGCUUUAAAAAAUAUGCAUGACAAUAGAAAAGACGCUUUCUUCUUAAAUUUAUUUUGAAUAGCAUGAUCCUCGAAAAGGCUCCAUAUAAAGUUUUUCUGCAAACAACAUAUAUAGCUUUGAGGCAAGAACAAAUUUCAUUCCAACUGUGACUAUUGUGUGAUAACCAACCAAAUAUCUAAUUAUAACAAUUCUCAGAAUCUUGACUACGCUAAUAACAUAGGAAAAUAGUGUAAGUGAAACUGUUAGCUUACAAUUUAAACAACAUUUCUCAACUAAAAGCCCACGUAAUAAUAGGCCACUAGAUUAAUAGAUAAACUUCCAAGCAAGUGUACAGGUCACCUUGAACCCAUUUUAUCAAGGUGAAUAUUUUCAAGACAAAAUGAGUUUUUAUUACCAUUUUAUCUCCAACUAACAAGCCUUAUUAACUCUUUCAUUAUUGACAUAGGAAAAUAAGGCCUAAACAACUGGAAUUUAGUAGUAUCUAUUCACAUACAGCCUGGAAUUAAGUAGACAACUGAAAUUUAGUUACCUCAGUCUCUCCUUAUUAGCGCUAAGUAGCUCGAAAUCUUAAAAAAUGUGAUCGCACCCGUGUUGAAUCCUACAAAAAUACACUACUUUUGAAGGACCCGACAUACACUUGAUGACCUUUUCAAAGAGUCCGAGCAACAUGGAUAUUAGUUUCUCUACUACACUUCAGCAUGCUACUUUUUAGUCCACCAUCUCUCAUUUCUAGAUCCUUGUUUAUAUACCUGAAAGUACCUCAAAUAUUUUUGAUCUAAACUUUUAGCAAUUUUAUAUCUAAAUUGAUCAAAAUAUUAAACAGAAUGCUCUAAGCAAUUCUAACAAAGGACCAACCUAUGAUGUGUUGUCCAGUUUACAAAUCCAACUCCAACUUGUGUACAUUAACUUUCUUGAUAACUAACAUGACACCUCCUUCUAGUAUUCCUCGAAAAUGUCUCAUGUAUGACCAUUCUUGAUAAGGUUUGUUUGAUCGAAGUUGCUUUUGACUUGUAGUAUCUGAUUGUAAGUAAUUAAUGAUUUGAUCGAGAAAGAUACAUCACUAAAGAAAUUUACUGGUGCCUAAUUAUUGGCUCCUUCCACAACAGGACUUAUGCCUCUCUUGUUUGAAUUUCCUCUGUAGCAUAUCUUUAAAAACAAUUAAAUGGCUAAUGCCAAAAGCAUUAGGACACCAACUACAACAAAAAAAACAACCAUUACAAGCAAACGUUCCACUCAAUGAUCAAGAAAUCUAGUCAACUUUUUGCAUUAAGCUUUCAACAGUUUUCUUCUAAAAUCGGGUGCUUAUUGUUGCUGUUAGUUUAUAGGGAUAUACAAUUGAAUUACAUUGUACUUGUUAUAUAACAAUAUACCCAACGAUUUGUAUCACUAGUUUAGGCUCCAUUCCAAUAGAGAAAGAAAGAACCAUAGCAGGUAUAAGAAUUACCCACAAGAGUAAAAAGAAAUAUGAUCAGUAAUCGUUGCAGCGCCAAUGCUUCUCUAGUGAAGAUCAUGCAAUAAGAAUCAAUCCACUUUAUAUAUCCUAACCAGCAAUCCCAUGAAAACCAUUUGCAUCUUCACACACACACACACAAACACACACACACACACACCCUUUUUAAAUCAAGGUUCUAUUGAAAAUAAAGUCUCUACCUUCUAAGUUAGGGGUAAAGUUUUCUUACACACUAUUCUCCCCAAAGCCCAUUUGUGAAAUUACACUUGGUAUGAUGUUAUUGUUGUCUUAGCAAUUCAAAAAAAUCCAAAAGCUUACAACUAAAAUCUAAUCCUACUAAUGUUGCUUUCUAGAAUGGUUCCACAGUCGACAUUCCCGCUACACGGCUAAAUCAUUGUAUCUUUCAAUUCUAGUACUGCAUUAUCAGAUUCGGAUCAACUAAUUAAAUUAUAUAUGAGUCACUUUGUCAUAAAUAAAUAAGAGACCACAAAAUAUUGAUAAAAAAACAUCACCAACAAUUAAAAAAUAUAGCAACUUUUACAAAUCUGACAAACAAAAAGGGAAAAGGGCCACAAUAUACAAUAAAAUAUGAACAUUUUGCUGAAAAAUCUAAAAAAAUUCAUUAUUUAGUAGAUUGAAGACAGAGAUAAAAUAUAUCUAUAAUUAAUAAAAAUUAUUAUCCAAAAUAAAAGGAGAACUUACUGUAGUUCAAAGAGAAUGUAGGGAGGGGAGCUUAGACAUUAGGGAGCUUUGGAGAGGAA
rnacentral:lncRNA from 1 species